rnacentral:rRNA from 1 species
UCCGUAGGUGAACCUGCGGAGGGAUCAUUACACAAUAAACAUAUGAAGGCUGCACCGCCAGUUGGCGGCAAGGCUGGAGUAUUUUAUUACCCUUGUCUUUUGCGCACUUGUUGUUUCCUGGGCGGGUUCGCCCGCCACCAGGACCACAUGAUAAACCUUUUUUAUGCAGUUGCAAUCAGCGUCAGUACAACAAAUGUAAAUCAUUUACAACUUUCAACAACGGAUCUCUUGGUUCUGGCAUCGAUGAAGAACGCAGCGAAAUGCGAUACGUAGUGUGAAUUGCAGAAUUCAGUGAAUCAUCGAAUCUUUGAACGCACAUUGCGCCCUUUGGUAUUCCAAAGGGCAUGCCUGUUCGAGCGUCAUUUGUACCCUCAAGCUUUGCUUGGUGUUGGGCGUUUUGUCUUUGGUUGCCAAAGACUCGCCUUAAAACGAUUGGCAGCCGGCCUACUGGUUUCGCAGCGCAGCACAUUUUUGCGCUUGCAAUCAGCAAAAGAGGACGGCACUCCAUCAAGACUCUUUAUCACUUUUGACCUCGGAUCAGGUAGGGAUACCCGCUGAACUUAAGCAUAUCAAUAAGCGGAGGA